rnacentral:lncRNA from 1 species
CAUUUGCCCGGGAGAGCAGCAGCAUUGUUAGUAUUCAAUCUAGAAAUAGAACCGGCAGCUGAUUUCAAGCAGUUACAGGCAGCCUGACGAUCAGGCGUCGUGGUGGCAGCACCAAGAAGCUUCUUCACUCCUGCACAGCAUGGCGGUGGAGGACUGGCAUUAUUAGGAGCUUGAAGAUAAGUAAGGCAUGGAGCCAAAUCACCGGAUACAGUUCCACAUGACAAAGCAGCUUCUGCCAUAAGCUUGAAGAUAAGUAAGGCAUGGAGCCAAAUCACCGGAUACAGUUCCACAUGACAAAGCAGCUUCUGCCAUAGGCGCAAUAACUACCAUGCACAUCACCAAAGCAACACAUGCUAAUUUCAUGCUUGUUGCCAUUUUUGUUUUCUUUGUUUUCUAUUCUUUUUCUUAGUUUGUUUGAAUGGUGUGUAAUGUCUUUGUGGGAGGGGGUUUAUAUAGAAAAUAAGAUAAGGUUUGAAGAUGAGUAGAUUGAUGAAUUUUUUGUGAAUGUGCAUAAAAAUUAGGUGGUAGUUGUGGUUUGAAUUAAUGACGUAUGGUCCAUUAUCUAUAAUUAUUGAGCAUUUGUCUCACUAUCUUUAAUUUAUUAUUUAAUGAUAUGGUACACAGUUAGAUUGGACGAUAAUUACUGUAGUUUCCGAAUUCAAUUUUCCACCCUCCUUCUUUCUCUUCUCUAUUUUAUCGGUGCUUUCUGCGCUUUGUAUGAUUUUUAACUUUCUUAUAUAGGAUUAUCUUAUUAAUACUACUAUUUUAAAAUUUAGUAUAUUUUUUUAAAAGCAAAUAUUAAAAGAGGGUGGGAUAUAUAGAAUGAAACUUGUUUCGCCAUAGUUUUGAAUGGUUUUAGUGUUAUGAUUCGAGAUUUUGAUCUUAGGGGUUUUAUUAGAAAGGACAUCGUCCCUCCUAAAGUACGUGUUUUGUCUAAUGCCUCUUUAGAAAAAAUGUUCAGAACAUGUAUGUGAAAUUUUACAUGACCAUAGGAUAGAAAGCAAUUUUGGAUUGUUUGAAAGCAGCACAUGUUCAAAAUUUCCUCCUUGCUAUUAUUAUUAAUGGUCAUGCCAACAUAUGACCCUGAUAGAAUAUCAUACAAUUCUUAAAUAUCGAUUUAUGAUUCCCUUAUUUCUUGUCGACAAAGUUUUCUCUGUUUUUCGUAAGGUGUGCUUGGAUAUAUUUGGGGUGUCAUUUGACAUACUUUGGCGUGCCACGGUACCUGUGAAGAAAGAGUCACAUGUGAAUUUUUGUACUGACCACGUGAGGGAUGAUCGACACUUAGGCCAACAAAUGUUUUAGUGUACGAGUGGAUAGGAGAGAAACAUGCAUAUGUAGACUUGAUUUCAGUUUUGACAAACAUUUUAAAAAUAAAUCGAACACGCUAGGUUAAAUUACACGAAACGUAGAUUAAUAAAAUUGAUGUUUGCAAGCUUGAUUUUGAAAAUUUUCGUCAACUAUUUUGACACACAUUUUACAAUUGAUUCAACCGAUUUUCCUGUAGAUACAAAAAUUUAUUUCGACUGACAUUCUAGACAUUAUGCGGUAUGAAAUACAUGUUAUGUUAUGCAGAGAUGCAACAAUUAUGAUGAAUGCAUUGAAUCGUUGAUUCACGGUCAAAAUCGGGAUGUGACAAGUUCUACCAGGGUUUCAUCAAGGGUUCCAUCUAAGGUUUUUAUCAAGGGUUCCACUAGGGUUUCAUCAAGGGCUCCAUCAAGGGUUCCAUCUAAGGUUUUUAUCGAGGGUUCCACCAAGGUUUCAUCAAGGCUCCAUCAAUGGUUUCAUCAAGGUUUUGUCAGGAGUUUUUAUCUAGGGUUCCACCAAGGUUUCAUUAAGGGCUCCAUCAAGGGUUUUAUCAAGAGUUUUUAUCAAGGGUUCCACCAGGAUUUCAUCAAGGGUUUCAUCACGGGUUUUAUCAAAGGUUCCACCAGGGUUUCAUCUAAAGGUUUCACCAAGGGUUUCAUCAAAGUUUGAUCAAAGGGUUUCAUCAGGGUUCCACAAAGGGUUUCAUCGGGGUCCCACCAGGGGUUAUGUUAGAAGUUUCGUUAGCAGCGAUCGGAGGAUCACUACAAUCCUACUUGAAUUUCGUAAAAAAUGAUCAGAGGAUCAUCGGAAUCAUACACAGGUUUCACCAAGAGGGGUUGAAACCUACCAAAGAUUCUGGUUCCAUCAUAGUGUUGCAUGGAUUCCCCCAAGGAAGUGGUUCAAAUAUUUGAGUUCCAUUAAGGAUAUUAUUCGGGAUCCAUUAGAUUGGUUAUG